AUGGCGGUCGUCCAAAAAGUCAGGCGGAAAGCAAACCAAAGCAAACCUCCCCCGACUCCUAAAACCUUAAACCCUAGCUCCGGUCACCCCCCCAUGGCGGCCGUCCGGGUCAUCCUCCCUCAUCCCCACCUCCCCAUCCCCUCGUGGAGACCCCAGCUCAAGCCCUCCUCAUCCUAUCCCCGCCGCGCGGUCGCCGCCCCAGCUUCGCUGUCUCCGUCGCCCCUCACGGCUUCCCUGCAACUCGGAGAUGUGAUCGAGGCGCAGCAGUUCGAUCGGCAGGUGCUUAAUGAGAUCUUUGAGGUGGCGCGGGAGAUGGAGGCCGUGGAGCGCGGCUCCCACGGGUUCCGGAGCCGCGUCCUUGAGGGGUACCUCAUGGCCACGCUCUUCUACGAGCCCUCCACUCGCACGCGCCUCUCCUUCGAGGCCGCCAUGCGCCGUCUUGGCGGAGAGGUGCUCACCACCGAGAACGCUCGCGAGUUCUCGUCCGCUGCCAAGGGCGAGACCCUAGAAGAUACCAUAAGAACCGUUGAAGGUUAUUCUGAUAUUAUCGUUCUGAGACAUUUUGAAAGUGGAGCUGCCAGAAGAGCAGCGGCUACUGCAGAAAUUCCGGUUAUUAAUGCAGGUGAUGGGCCAGGGCAACAUCCUACUCAGGCUCUGUUGGAUGUAUAUACAAUAAAGAGAGAAAUUGGUAGGCUAGAUGGAAUCAAACUUGGUUUGGUUGGAGACCUUGCCAAUGGGAGAACUGUUCGUUCUCUGGCCUAUUUGAUCGCUAAGUACCAGAACAUUAAGAUAUACUUCGUAUCUCCAGAUGUUGUAAAAAUGAAGGAUGAUAUUAAGGAGUACUUAACUUCACAAGGUGUUGAAUGGGAAGAAAGUUCAGAUUUAUUGGAUGUGGCAUCCAGGUGUGAUGUAAUUUAUCAAACACGCAUUCAAAAAGAAAGAUUCGGAGAGAGGAUCGAUCACUAUGAGGCUGCUCGUGGGAAAUAUAUUGUGGAUAAGAAGGUUUUAGGUGUGCUGCCAAAGCAUGCUGUUAUCAUGCAUCCCCUUCCAAGGCUGGAUGAGAUCACAGUGGAUGUUGAUAGUGAUCCAAGGGCUGCAUAUUUUAGGCAGGCUAAGAAUGGCCUCUACAUAAGGAUGGCACUGCUCAAACUUCUGCUUGUUGGCCAUUGA
rnacentral:rRNA from 1 species